UACAGGGUGGCAAGCGUUGUUCGGAAUUACUGGGCGUAAAGGGCGAGUAGGCGGCCUUCUAAGUCAGACGUGAAAUCCCCCGGCUUAACCUGGGAACUGCGUCUGAUACUGGGAGGCUCGAGUAUGGGAGAGGGAUGUAGAAUUCCAGGUGUAGCGGUGAAAUGCGUAGAUAUCUGGAGGAAUACCGGUGGCGAAGGCGGCAUCCUGGACCAUUACUGACGCUGAAUCGCGAAAGCUAGGGGAGCAAACGGG
rnacentral:rRNA from 1 species